rnacentral:lncRNA from 1 species
UAAAACAUACUUAAGAUCUCUGAUAUAUUUCCUUUUAUCAUAAUAUGUAGGCUCGGAUGCUCAUUGGGAAGGGAGGUGAGACCAUUGAGCUUUAGAAACUAAGUCUGGGGCUGGCAUUCAGGUUAGUGCUAUGACUAUAUGCAUGGAUGUUUUUAUUCAUUUCAAAAUGAAAACUAAUAUUCUUUUUGUAGUUAAUCCCGCAUCAUCUCCCCGAAGGUGAUCUUUCCACAGAAAGAAAAAUACGACUUACUGAGAAUUGGAAUCAAAUAGAGAUUGCAAGAACAAUGGUCGUGGAACUCAUUAGUCAGGUGCUUCUCGUACUUAUCUAUAUGUAUAUGUAUAAUAUGUUACAUUGCUCUCCAUGCUAUUUGAAAAUUAAAAGGGGAGUUAUAUUCGUUUUUCAGUCUUAUACAUGUAGGAUCCGCGGGAUGUUAAAAACCAUGGUUGGUAGAUGCACUUUAUGUUUUGAAAUGCUGCUUGCACUUUUUGUGUUACCAUGAUUGGGCAAAUAUUUGAGUAUACUUGAUUUUUUGUUUUUUAGAUAAAUUCUUCACUUUUUCAGCAUGGGCUUCUGAUAAACUUUGUGCAUCUGGGCAAAGGUUGAUUAAUCUAAUGAUUUGUGUUAUUUCUUUGGCGUUAGGUACAGAAGAUUAGUUUUUUUGUUCUGGAUUUUGCUGCCUUUGCAGGCCUCUUUACUUUUGUUAGUUUUGAAACUCAACAUAUGGGGAUUUUCAGAUGUUUUUCAUGGUUUUGACAAGGGUCAGUGCUAGAUUAGAUAUAUCUGCAGUAUCUUUGUUCUUAAGUGAUGCUUCAUGUCUAGCGCAAGAUUUUAUUCUUCUCUAAACGGCCUGAUUUAGAGACAUUUUAAGGUGUUUAUCCAGAUGUGAUAUUUUUUAUUCAGUGACAGGUGAAGCAUAUAAUUCUUUCAUUUAAAUUUUUGCUCUGUUAUCUAGAAACUAAUAGGUCCUUCUGUAUACAUAGACUAUCAUGCCGUGAAAGUGUAAUAUUUUCCCCUGUUUUGGACUGAGUUGUUAUCAAAUCAUUUCAAACUCUAUAUUUUUACUGUUUAGUAAAUAAACCUUUAAGGGCUAAUGGUUGACGCUAGAUCUUGCUUUUUUUACUCUGUUAUUCUUUGUUGUUAGUAACUUACUAUUACUCUGUGUAGGCUAAACUGGUGCGUACAUUUUCUUUGGUUCGACAUAUAUUUCUAUAUGCAUGUGGAAGUGUAGAUCUCGUGAGAUAUAUUUCAUAAUCAGAAUGGCUGAGUAUCUGUGUUAGUUGAUUACCUCACGCAAUAGUUGUAGCUUCUCAUGGAAUAUUCCUCCACUGUCAGUGACAAUGUAUCAUAUUUACAAGAGCUCAACCUUGUGCUUAGUUGAUUCCGAGAAUGCCAUUCUCAUAUGCCUGAUAGACUAUGUUGCCUUGAUAUGUUGUAAGAGAAUCAUUCAUAUGGAAUUCAGUUGCAAGAGGAACAAGUAUGACGUAAUGUAGAUUUAUUGAUAAACAUGGAUUUUCGUAAUUAUAUAAUUGUAUAUGAAUUUUUUAGAGCAAAUAUUGCUAGAGCUCAUCCAUGUACUUGCUUGAUUACACCAACUUGGGAGCACUGUCAAGUACUCCCUACUUCCCAAAAUAUUGCGCGUAUUAGGUAUUAGCACGAAAAUUAGCGCAUUGUUAGUUACGUGAGACAUCGUAUGAGGGAGCCAUCCACGAUUGGAGAAAAAAAAGGAAGGCAUGCAUGAUUUGGGUGCUAAUGGCACCAGAGGACCGGCCGCCUUUUUUAUUUCCAAAAACAUAGCUGUCGUUGACUAGACUGUAACUACGCGCCCUGCAUUAUGGGACUGCAUGUAAAUUCUAAUACGCCCAAAAAAUUUGGAAGGAGGGAGUACCAAACAAUGUUUUGUGUUUGUGAUAGAUUCAGUUAUGGUGUGAUUGCCUACUAUAGUACUACCCGAACUGAUUUCAUCAUAUCAUCAAUUUCAGGAAGCUUAUGU